GGACGCUCUCGCGCGAUCCCGGGGGCCAGGGCGGGGCCGGCGCUGUCCCGCGCUUCCUGCCACCCCGGGCCACCCCUCCGCGCCUCUCCGCUCCGGGCCAUGGCGGCCGUGGCUUGGGGACGGUGCCUCCCUCGGGUGUGGCUUCGCAGGAGGGCCGGGCCUGGCUGCGGCCGCCACUACCGCGCCGCGCUCUGCGCCGAGCUGAAGCAGCCCCUGGCCAUCGAGGAGGUCGCCUCCCGCCCCGUCCGGCCUCACGAGGUCAGAGUGGAUGUCCAUUUCUGUGGAGUUAAUUUUGCUGAUAUUUUGGUCUGCCGUGGUCAGUAUCAGGAAAAGCCUCAACUUCCCUUCACACCUGGAAUGGAGUUUUCGGGGACAGUAUUGGAGACAGGCACAGAUGUCAGCACAGUGAAAGAGGGAGAUCGAGUUAUUGGCGUGAGUGGCUUUAAUGGAAUGGCUGAAGAAUGCAUCAUUGAUCACAAGACACUGUGGCAGAUUCCAGAAGGGGUCCCCCUCCGAGAAGCUGCUACCUUGCCUGUCUCUUAUGUCACUGCUAUUUUGGCCUUGGAGCAUCGGGCCUGUACUCGGCCUGGAGAAACUGUUUUAGUGACAGCAGCAGCUGGAGCCACAGGCCUUGCAGUGAUAGAUGUGGCAACAAAUGUUCUUCAGGCUAAGGUAAUAGCUGCAGCCGGAAGUGACGAGAAGUGCAGGCUGGCGAUGCGGAAGGGUGCACAGUCCAUCGUGAACUAUAGUCAGGGCAGCCUGAAGGAGGCAGUGAGGAAGCUGGUGGGCAGUGAUGGGGUGAACGUGGUCAUCGACGCUGUGGGAGGAGAUGUCUUCCUGGAGGCUCUCCACAGCCUGGCCUGGGAGGGCAGGAUUGUGGUGGUGGGUUUUGCUGGAGGAACCAUUGCUUCUGUGCCGGCCAACCUUCUGCUCCUGAAGAAUGUCUCUGCUAUGGGGCUUUACUGGGGCCGAUACAAAGAGCAGAACUUUCCCAUCUUCUCCAGAAUCCUGUCCUCUGCUCUUCAGUACUGCCAGCAAGGGUGCAUCCAGCCACACAUCGGAGCGGUUUUUAAGCUAGAGGAGGUCAACGAUGCCUUCCUUCAUGUGAUACAGCGCAAAUCCACGGGCAAGCUGUGGCAAAGACUGCGAAAGAUUUGUUACGUAGCAAGCGAAGAGAAAUAAAGGUGUCCUCACGUCAUCGCUUGUGUUCAACAACAACAACAAAAUUAAAUAAAGGAAGAAAAAUUUGCACUAUUAUUUCUUCCACUUCAUUUUUCUUCUCGGAUUUUGACUGUAGAAUAUCGUGACUGCUCUGUGGACCACUCAGAGAGACUUGGCCAGGGAUAGUUUGGUGAUUUCACAUGAACCACAAGAGGUUAUCAGGAAGGCUGUAUUGCACAGGGAAUAAAGCGCCAUUCUCUCAGUAGAGGACCAGCGACUGGGGCUCUUAAGUCCAGCUGUUCGGCCUUGGGCUAGACUCCUCUUUUUAAUUUUCUCAGGUAAAACAAUGAAGAUCAUAAUAUGUUUUUUUCUACCUUGCGUGGUUCCUGUGAGGGUCAAAUGAGAUAAUGUAUGAUAAUGUGUGAAAGCACUUUCUAAUUGUCAUUUUCGUAAUAGAUUAUGAGGUCGUCUAGCACCAGUGUGUUCAAGUUCAUUUCAGAGUGGAGCAAAAAUGUGUAUUUUUUUGGCAUCUGCUGGGCUGAUAUGGAGCAAAGGAAUUGUUUGAUUUUUAAAAGUGUCUCUCAAGUAUUUCUACACUCUAUUGUAGCUGAAGUCAUUGUGCUCUUUUAUACGGAAUAAUGGACAAAGCGAUGGGAGCCCCAUGAUCCGACGUACCUCAAAGACAUACAGAACCAGACAAGGUCUAAAGAAGGACACCUAAAUUGAUCCAGAGGGCAGAGGGGGUUCUUUUGUGAGGGAUGAUGAAAGAAUUGGGGCUCUUCGUUCUGGAAAGACACAGGCUGAGAGGGGAAUAUGAUUGAAAUUUGUAAAAUAAUGAAAAUCAUAGGAUAAAAAUAUGAACGUAUUAAAUCCCAGAGCACAAGAACUAGGGACAACUUUAUCAUUUUAAAGAAAUAGCUUUAGGGCAAAGUAAAAAUAGUACUUCUUUACACAGGAAUACUAAGCACAUGGAACUUACUACUCUCAAAGAUUGCUAGGACCAAAAUCAAAUAUUAUAAGAGAAAGACAUGUAUUUCUGGAAGAUAGAUUCAUAGAUUAUAAAAUGAAAUUAAAAACAGUUUGGGUAAGUCUCCCCAAUUUUGGACUAUGGCACCAUGGAGAGUGGCCAUGAAGCUUUCCUGUUUCCAUCUGGCAUCCUUGUCCAGAUCAAGAUUCCCGAGUGGAUGUGCCAGAGAGGACAGAGCACAGAAUUUGAGCUCAGAGGGCCUGGCUGCAAGUGACUCUCGGGAAUCACUUCUUUUUAUUUACUUUAUUUAUUUUUAUUUAUUUAUUUAUUUAUUUAUUUAUUUAUUUAUUUAUUUAACGUUUAUUUAUUAUUAAGAGACAGAGAGACAUAGAGCAUGAGCAGGAGAGGGGCUGAGAGAUGGAGAGACACAGAAUCUGAAGCAGGCUCCAGGCUCUGAGCUGUCAGCACAGAGCCUGACGCGGGGCUCGCAGGGCUCAAACCCCCAAACUGCAAGAUUGUGACCCGAGCCGAAGUCAGACGCUUAACCAACUGAGCCACCCAGGCGCCCCGGGAAUCACUUCUUUUUUAUGUACCUCCAUUUCCUCAUCUGCAAAAAGAAGAAAAAAAGGUAAUAUCAACAUUAAAACCUGCUGCACUAUUGUAAGAGAUUCAACUGAAGGGAUGUCUGUGGCAGUGUUUUGUAGUUGGUAAACAUAUUAGCCGCAGGGGCAUGAGAAUUGCCACUUUUAUUGUUGCAUUUCCAAUUCUAUCUCCUUUAGGUGGGUUGACCUUCACCUUGUCCUUCCUGAUCCUGGCCUUGCUGGGGAGCAAUAUUUGCCAGCUCAGAAAUGAAGGAGAACACUGAGGAUAGGGACACUCCCUGGUCCUCUAGGGAGGGAGGUAGAGAGAAUGCAGACAUCUCUUCCUUCAUCCCUUGUUCUUCCUUGCGAAGGUAGAGAAAUAAAGGUGAGGAGGUAAGGAGAGGGGUGCCUGGGUCAGUCAGUUAAGUGUCCGACUCUCUCUUUGUCUCUUUUUAAUGUUUAUUUAUU